CUAUAGCGUAUAUUAAAGUUGUUGCGGUUAAAAAGCUCGUAGUUGGAUUUCUGCCGAGGACGACCGGUCCGCCCUCUGGGUGAGCAUCUGGGACGGCCUGGGCAUCCUCUUGGGGAACGUAGCUGCACUUGACUGUGUGGUGCGGUAUCCAGGACUUUUACUUUGAGGAAAUUAGAGUGUUUCAAGCAGGCGCACGCCUUGAAUACAUUAGCAUGGAAUAAUAAGAUAGGACCUCGGUUCUAUUUUGUUGGUUUCUAGAGCUGAGGUAAUGAUUAAUAGGGAUAGUUGGGGGCGAUUCGUAUUUAACUGUCAGAGGUGAAAUUCUUGGAUUUGUUGAAGACGGACUACUGCGAAAGCAUCUGCCAAAGAUUGUUCUCAUUGAUCAAAGAACGGAAAGUUAGGUGAUCGAAGACGAUUAGAUACCAU
rnacentral:rRNA from 1 species